UAUGUUGAGGACAGCUACAGUUCACUGACUCUGUGUGUUUGCAUAUGUGUCCUUCCUCUCUGCUCCCAGCCUUUAAGAGGCCAGUGUUGAUCAGUGGCUGUCCAGGCCUUUCAGAGCCACUGACACGCCGGCAGCACAAUGAUGAUGUCACUGACUCUACUGCUGGCCACCCUGGGGCUCCUUGUUCAGGGUUCAUCAGGACAAAUCACCCUGACUCAGUCUCCUGGAUCUCAGUCUGUUGUUCCAGGACAGACUGUCUCUAUCAGAUGUACAGCCAGUUCAGAUAUUAGUAAUAGCUUCCUCUACUGGUACCUUCAGAAACCUGGAGAGGUUCCUAAUCUCCUGAUUUAUGCAACUUCAACUCGUCAGUCUGGAGUUUCAAGUCGUUUCAGUGGAAGUGGAUCUGAUUCUGACUUCACUCUGACCAUCAGUGGAGUUCAGGCUGAAGAUUCAGGAGUUUACUACUGUCAGCAAAGUCACAGCUGGCUUUUCACACAGUGAUACAACGUCGUACAAAAACCUCCCUCAGCUGGAGAGGAACUGAUCUGACUCAACAGCUGCACUGAAACUAAAACAACAGAGGUUUCAUAAAAAAAUAUAAUUAAUAAUAAUUCACUUUGAACAUUUAAACACUAAAUAUUCCAUAUCUUUAAAGCUAUACUUUUAAUGCUUUUAUUGAAACAGGCUGCUGCACAUCAAAGGUAACCUCUGUCAAGGUAUGAUUUAAAUUCUUUCAUCGUGGAGUAUGAAUAAUAACACGGUAAA